rnacentral:rRNA from 1 species
GCUUGCGAUACUGGGCAUAACUUGAGUGCUGUAGGGGAGACUGGAAUUCCUGGUGUAGCGGUGAAAUGCGCAUAUAUCAAGAAGAACACCGAUGGCGAACGCAUGUCUCUGGGCAGUAACUGACGCUGAGGAGCGAAAGCGUGGGAAGCGAACAGGUAUUAUAUACCCUGUGUACUCCAUGCCGUACACGGUAGGGCGCUAGGUGUGGGGGUCUUCCACCACUUCUGUGCCGUAACUAACGCAUUACGCGCCCCGCCUGGGAGAGUACGGGCGCAAGGCUAACACUCAAAGGAAUUGACGGGGGCCCGCACAAGCGGCGGAGCGUGUGGUAUUAAUCUCAGAUGCCACGCAAAAGAACCUUACCUGGGCUUGACAUAUGCCAGCGAUCCGCGCAGAGAUGCUUUUUCCCUUGUGGUCAGUAUACAGGUGGUGCAUGGUUGUCGUCAGCUCGUGUCGUGAGAUGUUGGGUUAAGUCCCGCAACGAGCGCAACCCUUGUCUUGUGUUGCCAGCACGUUAUGGUGGGGACUCGCGAGAGAGUGCCGGGGUUAACUCAGAAGAAGGUGGGGAUGACGUCAAAUCAUCAUGCCCCUUAUGUUGAGGGCUUCACACAUGCUACAAUGGUCGGUACAGUGGGUUGCUACACCGUGAGGUGGUGCUAAUCCCUUAAAGCCGGUCUCAGCUCAGAUUGGAGUCUGCCUCUCCACUCCAUGAAGUCAGACUCUCUAGUAAUCGCAUAUCACCCACGCUGCGAUGAAUACGUUCCCGGGUCUUGUACACACCGCCCGUCACGUCAUGAUAAGUGGCAACACCCGAAGCCAGUGGACCAACAUCGUACGGAGC